rnacentral:rRNA from 1 species
UUGAACGCUGGCGGCAUGCUUUACACAUGCAAGUCGAACGGUAACAGGCCGCAAGGUGCUGACGAGUGGCGAACGGGUGAGUAAUGCAUCGGAACGUGCCCAGUCGUGGGGGAUAACGCAGCGAAAGCUGCGCUAAUACCGCAUACGAUCUAUGGAUGAAAGCGGGGGACCGUAAGGCCUCGCGCGAUUGGAGCGGCCGAUGUCAGAUUAGGUAGUUGGUGGGGUAAAGGCUCACCAAGCCGACGAUCUGUAGCUGGUCUGAGAGGACGACCAGCCACACUGGGACUGAGACACGGCCCCAGACUCCUACGGGAGGCAGCAGUGGGGAAUUUUGGACAAUGGGCGCAAGCCUGAUCCAGCAAUGCCGCGUGCAGGAAGAAGGCCUUCGGGUUGUAAACUGCUUUUGUACGGAACGAAAAGGUUUCUCUUAAUACGAGGAGCUCAUGACGGUACCGUAAGAAUAAGCACCGGCUAACUACGUG